UGAACGCCUCUAAGGCCGAAGCCAGCCUAU
rnacentral:sRNA from 1 species